GUGCUCACUUUGGUAGCACAUAUUCUAAAACUGGAAUGACACAAAGCGGAUUAGCAUGGCCCCUGUGCAAGGAUGACAAGCAAAUUCAUGAAGCAUUCCAUAUUUUU
rnacentral:snRNA from 1 species